GACGUAGGGCGCGAGCGUUGUCCGGAUUUAUUGGGCGUAAAGAGCUCGUAGGCGGCUUGUCGCGUCGACUGUGAAAACUUGGGGCUCAACCCCAAGCUUGCAGUCGAUACGGGCAGGCUAGAGUUCGGUAGGGGAGACUGGAAUUCCUGGUGUAGCGGUGAAAUGCGCAGAUAUCAGGAGGAACACCGGUGGCGAAGGCGGCUAUCUGGACGACAACUGACGCUGAGGCGCGAAAGCGUGGGGAUCAAACAGG
rnacentral:rRNA from 1 species